ensembl:lncRNA
GGAGGUUGGGGGUCUGUGGGGUGUGGGUGACCCCAAUCUAUGACCAGCGGGGUCCUAUGGGGGGUCCUGGGGGUGGUUCGGGGUCUUCUAUAGGAGGUUGGGGGUCUGUGGGGUGUGCGUGACCCCCAAUCUAUGGCCAACUGGGUCCUAUGGGGAGUUCUGGGGGGGGUUGGGGGGCUUCGGUUGAGGUUGGGGGGCUUCUAUGGGAGGUUGGAGGUCUAUGGGGUGUGGGUGACCCCAAUCUAUGACCAACGGGGUCCUAUGGGGGGGUCCUGGGGGUGGUUCGGGGUCUUCUAUAGGAGGUUGGGGGUCUGUGGGGUGUGGGUGACCCCCAGUCUAUGGCCAACGGGGUCCUAUGGGGGGUUCUGGGGGUGGUUGGGG